rnacentral:rRNA from 1 species
AUGAUGACCUGCUUCUCUGAUCUUAUAAAAGAUCAUUCCCUAGAUUUUUUGUGCCCACAAGAAACUAUGAAGAAGAAAUUCUCUUCUGUUUUUUUUAGGAAUAUUGACCCUUAUAAGACCUUUGAGUCAAACUGGAUUCCUUCUAUUGGUAAGUCUAGAGGCAUGCUUUGUGGGGUGAAAAAAGAGAAGCUGGAAAUAGUAUCUUGGUCUAUGGGAAAAUAUAUCUUACAAGUUGUUAUAUUUGAUGUGCCUAAACAAUGUGCAUGGGCUCUGCUUAAUGUUUAUGGUGCUGCCCAUGAUGAGCAGAAAGAGGAAUUCCUUUCUGAACUUGCUGAUUUUUGUAGCCACUUGACAAUGCCUUAUAUAGUUGGGGGUGAUUUUAAUAUUCUAAGGCAUUAUGGAGAAAAAAUAAAAAGAUGGUGGCCUCCCAGUAUGUAGAUAUUUAAUGACAUCAUUAAUACUAUGUGCCUGCGGGAGAUUUAUGUUGAGGGGGGACUUACUCGAUCCAACAAUCAAGCUCAUCCUACUCUAGAAAAACUGGAUAGGAUCAUUAUGAACAGUGAGUGGGAAGAUUUAUUCCCUUUGCUCACUACCAGAAAGCUGGUUAGAGACAUCUCAGACCAUAAUCCUCUCCUUUUGUCCACUAAUAGUGCUUGCCCUCAAACACCUAAACCUAGAGAGUUUAGGUUUGAGAUUAGUUGGAUGACCAAUGAGGAAUUUCUACCUUUGGUCAAAAAGAUUUGGCAAAGACCUGUUAGAUCUUCCAAUCCAAUUGAUGUACUAAAUAUCAAGUUAAAACGUUUCAAGAAUUUUUUCAAGGGGUGGGGGUCGGACAAGUUUGGCCAUGAGAAGAAAAGGAAGAAAGUAAUCAAAGAUGAGCUUGCUGCUAUUGAACUUAUGGAAGAACAUGGGCCUCUUGAUCCUGACACUCUAGACGAGCGUGCUACAUUGAGUGGUGAGUUGCAACAGCUCAUGGUUAAUGAUGAGUUGUUCUAG